rnacentral:lncRNA from 1 species
UGCUUUGUACCGGGCAGGCGUCGGGGAUCGUUUUUGCUUUGGUAUCGGUGAUGUAAAUUCAUGAAUUAAAAUUAAGGAUUUUGAAAAGAACGGGGAAGAACGCACUUGGAUUUAGGUUGUUUUUGAAAAGGAAAAACCAAAGAGGAAAUGAUACGUUUGCAGGAGCAUUAACUGACUACUGACUGGAACAUUGGAUGCGGGUGCUUUGUGAAGAUUUGUACUCCAAAAACUUUUUUUAAAAAUUGCACGUUGGUAAAUAUUGAGUGUUUUCGAGUAAAAUCUAACAGUAUGUAUUUAGUGCCCUUAUUGCGGAAAUUUCUUAAAUGUAAGUAAUAGUAAGUCCGCCAUUUUGAAUUGUUUCAUGUAACACAGAAUGAAAUCUUAGGUGCCUGUGUUUCCUUGAGUUCCCUUCAGUUCUUUGUGGGUUUGUUUUCAUCCGUAGGUUUUUAAGGUUGCCAAGUGUCACUGUUCAUGGAACUAAAUUCUCCACUGUAGAUUUUUAUACCUAUUAUUGUUAAUGCAAGGGGAAAAUAAAUUAUACUCCUAUUC